CGCAAGCCUCCAAACACUGUUUUCUCUCUCUUACCUCUCUCAUCGCCUUUGGUUUCUCUCUUACUCGCGUACCCUACCCUUUGAAACUUCUAAACUUUCAACAUUUCUCUCCACCUCCGCUAGAAAACCCUAACCCACUUUCUCUCUCCUAGGGUUUCGUUUCUCUCUCUAGUCAAACAAGAUGCAGGACCCUCUAAACAUGUCCCUCGACGACCUCAUCAAGACCAGCAAGAAAUCCGGAUCGGGCAACGCUCGAGGCCGUGGCCGGGCCUCAGGACCCGGACCCGCCCGCCGGUUGCCCAAUCGUGCCGCCAAUCGUACGACGCCGUAUGCGGCGGCCAAGGCGCCGGAGACCGCGUGGCAACACGACCUGUAUACGGAUCAGGGGGCGGCGGCGUUCCCGGCUCAAGCUGGAAGAGCCUCGGCCAUUGAAACUGGAACCAAGCUCUACAUCUCCAAUCUCGAUUAUGGCGUUUCCAACGAGGACAUUAAGGAACUGUUUUCAGAGGUUGGUGACCUGAAGCGAUAUGGAGUACAUUAUGACCGAAGUGGGAGAUCGAAGGGAACGGCAGAAGUAGUCUUCUCACGACGACCAGAUGCUGUUGCCGCGGUUAAAAGAUACAACAAUGUUCAGCUUGAUGGGAAACCAAUGAAGAUAGAGAUUGUAGGAACGAACAUUUCGACACCUGGCGGACCUCCUACUUUGCCCCCUGCUGCUAAUGGCAACUUUGGAAAUUCGAAUGGAGUUCCUAGGGGUGGACAGAGUAGGGGUGGUGCAUUUGGACGUAUACGUGGCGGGGGUGGCCGUGGUCCUAGAAGGGGGGGCCGUGGACGUGGAAGUGGUAAUGGAGGUGGAAGAGGCCGUGGUGGUGAAAAGGUAUCUGCUGAAGAUCUUGAUGCCGAGCUGGAGAAGUACCAUGCAGAAGCAAUGCAAGAGUAAAACGCUAGCAGUUGUGUUUUAGUGUUGGCUUUAUUACAUCUUCUGUGGCCCAUUAGGGGGCUUGGUGAUUUGACAACCUCAUCUAUUUUGUGUAUUUCUAUCGAAGUCCUACUUUCUAGAGAUAGAAAUUAAGCGUAGAAAGAACUUAUAGAAUCUUGCUUAUGGAGUUUGGGAUCUUAUUAUGUUUAUUUGAACAUGGGUAUGAAAUAUGUGGGUUAAUGGACAGUUUCAGUGCUUUAACUGAACUCCCACUCUUGGACCGUUAGCUUCUUCAAUCCCUUUUUGUACAUUCAACAAGUUGGGGUAUGGAAUUGGGAAGCUUAUCUCUCUGUUUCUCCACACGCAAAGACAAAACUGGCUGCAAGGUGUGAAAGGAUUGAGCCUUAAAGAAAUCCCACACUGCUGCAAUGUGUUUGGUUCUACUGCAUGUAAAGUGGCGUACUUCACAUGAGUUGAUUUAGCUGGUUAGAUUUCCAGCUAUUUUAUGGUAGCUUUCUCUAAUAUCCUGCCCCAGAAAAUGAUAGUUUCCAUGUUUAUUUGGCAUCGAUCCUGACAUUAUGUGUUAAGAGAAAUUGUGUGGACUAAACAACCACCGGUUCUACAUGUAGAAUCGGGUAACAGGAGUCACAAUGAUGAUGUUCAGAGAUAUGCGUUGCCUUCGGGCUUCAUAAUCCCUGGGGGAGUUCCAGAUAUGCCUGCUUUUUGACAGUCUAUUCGCUAAAGACAGCGGGGUGACUGUUAAUACUGAAUGUAUUGUUGGGUAAGAGUGAGUGAGUUGCUGUUUGAUUGUGAAUUUCCCAUCUGUUGGCUAGAUUGCAAUGGUAUGAGUGGUUGAAUUCUUCUCGAGCACUUUUUCGUUGAUCAUUGGAGCAUGAAUCAGGUUCUAUCUUUGCAUGGUUGGAGUUCAUGUCCAAUAUAGAAUACCAUUGAUUUUCCCCCAUCCUAGCGACUGGAAUAACCUUGUGAGUUUUGAAAUUAGUUUUCUUAAAUUUUCCCUUGA